GCUCAGUAACACGUAGUCAACAUGCCCAGGGGACGUGGAUAACCUCGGGAAACUGAGGAUAAACCGCGAUAGGUCAUCACUUCUGGAAUGGGUAAUGACUUAAAUCUAUACGGCCCCUGGAUUGGACUGCGGCCGAUCAGGCUGUUGGUGAGGUAAUGGCCCACCAAACCUGUAACCGGUACGGGCUCUGAGAGGAGGAGCCCGGAGAUGGGCACUGAGACAAGGGCCCAGGCCCUAUGGGGCGCAGCAGGCGCGAAACCUCUGCAAUAGGCGAAAGCUUGACAGGGUUACUCUGAGUGAUUUCCGUUAAGGAGAUCUUUUGGCACCUCUAAAAAUGGUGCAGAAUAAGGGGUGGGCAAGUCUGGUGUCAGCCGCCGCGGUAAUACCAGCACCCCGAGUGGUCGGGACGUUUAUUGGGCCUAAAGCAUCCGUAGCCGGUUCUACAAGUCCCCCGUUAAAUCCACCUGCUUAACAGAUGGGCUGCGGAAGAUACUAUAGACUAGGAGGCGGGAGAGGCAAGCGGUACUCGAUGGGUAGGGGUAAAAUCCGUUGAUCCAUUGAAGACCACCAGUGGCGAAGGCGGCUUGCCAGAACGCGCUCGACGGUGAGGGAUGAAAGCUGGGGGAGCAAACCGGAUUAGAUACCCGGGUAGUCCCAGCUGUAAACGAUGCAGACUCGGUGAUGAGUUGGCUUAUUGCUAACUCAGUGCCGCAGGGAAGCCGUUAAGUCUGCCGCCUGGGGAGUACGGUCGCAAGACUGAAACUUAAAGGAAUUGGCGGGGGAGCACCA
rnacentral:rRNA from 1 species